GAUGAACGCUGGCGGCGUGCCUAAUACAUGCAAGUCGAGCGAACAGACGAGGAGCUUGCCCCUCUGACGUUAGCGGCGGACGGGUGAGUAACACGUGGAUAACCUACCUAUAAGACUGGGAUAACUUCGGGAAACCGGAGCUAAUACCGGAUAAUAUAUUGAACCGCAUGGUUCGAUAGUGAAAGACGGUUUUGCUGUCACUUAUAGAUGGAUCCGCGCCGCAUUAGCUAGUUGGUAAGGUAACGGCUUACCAAGGCAACGAUGCGUAGCCGACCUGAGAGGGUGAUCGGCCACACUGGAACUGAGACACGGUCCAGACUCCUACGGGAGGCAGCAGUAGGGAAUCUUCCGCAAUGGGCGAAAGCUUGACGGAGCAACGCCGCGUGAGUGAUGAAGGUCUUCGGAUCGUAAAACUCUGUUAUUAGGGAAGAACAAAUGUGUAAGUAACUAUGCACGUCUUGACGGUACCUAAUCAGAAAGCCACGGCUAACUACGUG
rnacentral:rRNA from 1 species